ensembl:snoRNA
GUGACCUUUUAAGGUAGACACUUUUUUAAGAGGCUAACACAGAAUGGUAAAGUAAUUCUCCAUAAAACCCAGAGAAGAGACAGAAGAGACUGUGAAACUCCUCUUUGGAUGCCAUCUGGAGUCAUAGUA